rnacentral:ncRNA from 1 species
AAAACUAUUUAACCGAAAGGUGGAAUGAUGGUGUAACGCCCUGAAACGCCUUCCCUGAAGCUCCGAAUUGCAACCAUAUUUGCAAGAAUAUAAUUGUAAUAAGCUCGGUAAAGUAGGCUGAGAGACACCCUAACACUAUAUCUAAGAUAUGGUAGAGGAAAUGCGAACUGGAGGCAGUCGAGUGUUGAUAGGUCUGGGGUCGAA